rnacentral:rRNA from 1 species
UUUUCCUACGGGGGGCAGCAGUGAGGAAUAUUGGUCAAUGGGCGGAAGCCUGAACCAGCCAAGUCGCGUGAGGGAAGAAGGCCCUGCGGGUCGCAGACCUCUUUGGACGGGGAGCAAGGCCGCCGACGUGUCGGCGGAAGGAGAGUACCCGUAGAACAAGCAUCGGCUAACUCCGUGCCAGCAGCCGCGGUAAUACGGAGGAUGCGAGCGUUAUCCGGAUUUAUUGGGUUUAAAGGGUGCGUAGGUUGUUUUAUAAGUUAGCGGUGAAAUACCGAUGCUCAACAUCGGGGCUGCCGCUAAUACUG